UUUAUGGAGAGUUUGAUCCUGGCUCAGGAUGAACGCUGGCGGCGUGCCUAAUACAUGCAAGUCGAGCGAACGGACGAGAAGCUUGCUUCUCUGAUGUUAGCGGCGGACGGGUGAGUAACACGUGGAUAACCUACCUAUAAGACUGGGAUAACUUCGGGAAACCGGAGCUAAUACCGGAUAAUAUUUUGAACCGCAUGGUUCAAAAGUGAAAGACGGUCUUGCUGUCACUUAUAGAUGGAUCCGCGCUGCAUUAGCUAG
rnacentral:rRNA from 1 species